GCGGGUGUAGCUCAAUGGUAGAGCGUCUGCCUUCCAAGCAGAACACACGGGUUCGAUUCCCGUCACCCGCU
rnacentral:tRNA from 1 species